GCCCCUGUAGCUUAAUGGCAAAGCAGCGGCCUUUUAAGCCGUUGAUGGGGGUUCGAUUCCCUUCAGGGGCAC
rnacentral:tRNA from 1 species